rnacentral:lncRNA from 1 species
UCUCUCUAUGUGUUUUCACAGAAACCCAGGCCCAGGGAGAACAUUUACCCCUCUUCCUACAUUUCAGAGCUGAAAAUGUCGGAAUUGUCAUGGUAAUGCCCAUAGUUGAUGUGACAGAUACUGAGAAGGAAAAACACGCUUGCCACAUGUGAAAACUGCCUGGUUGGUUCUGCUCUGAGUGCCUCUCUGGAGGGCACAUUGAUGGAUUUGACAAUCACUUAAUUCUACUAGAGCCUGACCUUCAGUCUGGAAGUCAGAUAUACGCAGCAGAGACGUAGAUGAUAGCCGCAGGCUGCUGCUGGUGGGAAGCUGACAGAGUCCACUUUAAAGGACUGCCUUCAGUACCAUCUACAUUCUUCUACCUGGGACUGUGUGUGGCCAUGCGGACAGGCUCUCACCUUCACUAAACAAUUCAACUGCUGAAUUCCAACUAUCACGACAACCAUUUACACCAGUAAAAUGAACCAGAGAAGUCAGUGUAUCAGAACCUAAGACGGGAAAACUCUAUUGGAUUUCCUUUUACCUUAACUCUUAGACUCUCUCCUCAUGGCUGCAAUUCCUCCGUGGUUCCGGCUGAUUUGAACCUCUCUCCAUCUCUGUGCUCCUUUCCCUGGCUGGUGGAAGUUCUGCCCCAUUCCCUUUUCUGCCCAGCCAUUGGGUGAUCGUCAUUUAUUGACAAGGCAGAGAAUAAAUGAAUUACAUGUGUCUGUGUUGUCUCCCCAGAGGCAGAGACGGAGAUUGACUGAACCACCAUUCAGAUGGUGCUAUUAAAUUCCAGGAGGUACUUCUGGUGGUGAGUUCUCCAUCACCACUCAGCAUUCCUAGCCAUCAGUCACUGGUGAACGAGGAGAGAGAGGGUGGGGAGAGGGGACCUGACAUACCACAUUCUGUUCAGCUCAUGACUUAGAGCUGAACAGCAGCGUGUGCUGGUACAGGGGCAGAUGAUCUGAUUCUGGCACUGGGAAUCUGUGUUUUAGGCAUCACUUUUAUAAUUUAAGUAAAACUGAGGAUUCAAAAACCA